GUUAAAUGUAUCUGACAUUCAUGUGUUCGUUGUCUCCUUGGUUCUUGAAUAAACUCCUUUGAAGUAUUCUCCAGUGUCUCCUCAUCCCUUCCUGCCUGAGAGUCCGUGACAGAACAGCAGACUGAAAAUGAUGGAGGAACAAGCCAUGUUUAUCGCCAUGGCUCAGUCGAGCCCUGAUCUGGUCAUUCGUGUGUUCGCCCUCACCAGCUCCCUCGAGGGGGGAAAUGCUUGUGACGCUGAUUAGCCCUCAACUGGCAGUUCCCCAGCCCAUUCAGCCGAACAUUAAUAUGGCAAGCCCAUUGAACAUUAAUGUGGUGUGUCCCAUUGUGUCAUGUGUUUUAAAAGUGUUCCCUGUGUUGAGUUCUCGGUCUGCUGUUAAAUAUCAUCUCUGAUGCGCCUGUGUUCGUUGUCUCCUUGGUUUUUGAAUAAACUCCUUCA